UCGGGAAUUUUGGGCAAUGGGCGAAAGCCUGACCCAGCAACGCCGCGUGAAGGAUGAAAUCCCUCGGGAUGUAAACUUCGCAAGAACGGGAAGAAUAAGUAAGAGUUAAUAUCUCUUACGAUGACGGUACUGUUUGUAAGCUCCGGCUAACUCCGUGCCAGCAGCCGCGGUAAUACGGGGGGAGCAAGCGUUGUUCGGAUUUACUGGGCGUAAAGGGCGCGUAGGCGGCCACCGCAAGUCGACUGUGAAAUCUCCGGGCUUAACCCGGAAAGGUCAGCCGAUACUGCGGGGCUAGAGUGCAGAAGGGGCAACUGGAAUUCUCGGUGUAGCGGUGAAAUGCGUAGAUAUCGAGAGGAACACCUGCGGCGAAGGCGGGUUGCUGGGCUGACACUGACGCUGAGGCGCGAAAGCUAGGGGAGCGAACGGGAUUAGAUACCCCGGUAGUCCUAGCCUUAAACGAUGAAUGCUUGGUGUCUGGGGUUUUAUAGUCCCCGGGUGCCGUCGCUAACGCUUUAAGCAUUCCG
rnacentral:rRNA from 1 species